GAAAAACGUAAAACUAGUAGCUCAAAUGGAUUUGUAUUGAUUUUUUUUUCCUUUCAAAUUUUGUAUAGGAUGAAUUACAUACACUCACCUUCAUCAUUGUAAAACCCUCUCACUCUCGCCAUUCAGAGUCGUCGCCUCCCACUCACGGCUCACCUGCACGUAUCCACAUUGACCGUCGUCACUCCUCUUCACCAUCGCUUGCACUGAUUGAAGCUGUGCCGCCCUCACCAUCAUCGCUGUGCAGCCCUCACCAUCGUUGCUGCGCCGCUCUCACCAUCGUCAUCUCCGUGCUUCUCAUCAUCGUCUUCGCUAUGCUCACAUCAUUGAAUAGUUUGAACGGUUUCUUGGUUAGCCAGAAACAGAACUGGUGUGAAGAAUGUAAAGAAUGAAAGAAGACAAGGAGUAGAGAAGUAGAAGACGAAGAAGAAAGGUGAGCUGAAUGAGCUAUAACAUUUGCACUCAUUGACUCCAUUGACGUCACCGCAGCAAGUAAUCCGUUGUAGCAGGAUAAUUCUGAAGAUGCGAGUGAAGAUUGAGAUGCUGAUCAUGAUGGUUUAGUGACAAAGAUGGAAAUUGAAAGAUGUAUGGUUGAUGAUGAUAUCUUUUAUUAGAAGUUAAGAUACAUUUAUAUGAUAUAAUAUUUUGGUUUUUCCUAGUUUAUUAGCAGUAAACUCUAAGUGCAUUAUAUGAGUAUACUUAUUCUAGUUUGAGAUGUAUGAAUACUCAAAAUUAUGAUCAU